UUAAAGGAGACCUACCCGCUCAGAUAUUGAAAACAAUUUGUGAUUAGAUAUUGAGUUGGUCAUCCUAUAGGUCGGUCGCGACAGUUGUUUAUUGCUUUCAAACUAUAUUUUGGUUCGUAUGGGCUAUUAGCUCAGGUGGUUAGAGCGCACCCCUGAUAAGGGUGAGGUCCCUGGUUCGAGUCCAGGAUGGCCCACCUGAAUCAAUGCAAAAUUAAAAAUUCAAAAACAGUAUUUUGAAUUUGGAAUUUUGAAUUGUGUCUGGGGGUUUAGCUCAGUUGGUAGAGCGCCUGCUUUGCAAGCAGGAUGUCAGCGGUUCGAGUCCGCUAACCUCCACCAGAAAGUGAGAUUGGGAAAAAUUCAGCAACUGAGCAAUAUUUGCCAGACUGCUGGAUAUAUUUCCAGCAAUUGAACCUUGAAAACUGCAUAGUGAUAGCGAAUAAGCAGGCAGACACAGACACUCAGAUAAUUUGAGUUGUGUUUGCAUUGAUUGAUUAGCAAUUGUUGAAGU
rnacentral:tRNA from 1 species